rnacentral:rRNA from 1 species
CCUACGGGUGGCUGCAGUGAGGAAUAUUGGUCAAUGGACGAGAGUCUGAACCAGCCAAGUAGCGUGAAGGAUGACUGCCCUAUGGGUUGUAAACUUCUUUUAUAUGGGAAUAAAACAGGGUAUGCAUACCCUCUUGUAUGUAACAUAUGAAUAAGGAUCGGCUAACUCCGUGCCAGCAGCCGCGGUAAUACGGAGGAUCCGAGCGUUAUCCGGAUUUAUUGGGUUUAAAGGGAGCGUAGGUGGUUUGUUAAGUCAGUUGUGAAAGUUUGUGGCUCAACCUCAGAAUUGCAGUUGAUACUGGCAGUCUUGAGUACAGUAGAGGUAGGCGGAAUGCGUGGUGUAGCGGUGAAAUGCUUAGAUAUCACGAAGAACUCCGAUUGCGAAGGCAGCUCACUGGGCUGCAACUGACACUGAUGCUCGAAAGUGUGGGUAGCAAACAGGAUUAGAUACCCUUGUAGUC